rnacentral:rRNA from 1 species
UGAGGAAUAUUGCACAAUGGGCGCAAGCCUGAUGCAGCGACGCCGCGUGGGUGAAGAAGGUCUUCGGAUCGUAAAGCCCUUUUCUGCGUGACGAGGAAGGACGGUAGCGCAGGAAUAAGUCUCGGCUAACUACGUGCCAGCAGCCGCGGUAAAAACGUAGGAGACAAACGUUAUCCGGAGUUACUGGGCGUAAAGGGCGUGCAGGUGGUCUGUUAAGUCUGGCGUGAAAGCUCCCGGCUAAACCGGGAGAGGUCGUUGGAUACUGGCGGACUAGAGGACGGUAGAGGCGUGUGGAAUUCCGGGUGUAGUGGUGAAAUGCGUAGAGAUCCGGAGGAACACCAGUGGCGAAGGCGACACGCUGGGCCGUACCUGACACUAAGACGCGACAGCAUGGGAGCGAACGGGAUUAGAAACCCCGGUAGUCCAUGCCGUAAACGAUGCCAGCUAGAUGUUCAAGACGCGCAAGCGGCUGGGGUAUCGAAGCCAACGCGGUAAGC